rnacentral:rRNA from 1 species
UACGAACCGUGCGAACGUUAUUCGGAAUCACUGGGCUUAAAGCGCGUGUAGGCGGAUGGGAACGUCGGCCACUGAAAGCCCCCGGCUCAACCGGGGAAGUGGUGCCGAAACGACCCGUCUGGAGGGACGUAGGGGGACCUGGAACUUCCGGUGGAGCGGUGAAAUGCGUUGAGAUCGGAAGGAACGCCCGUGGCGAAAGCGAGGUCCUGGACGUCAUCUGACGCUGAGACGCGAAAGCUAGGGGAGCGAACGGG